rnacentral:misc_RNA from 1 species
CAAAAUUCAACUACUCAAAGCAAUUUACAAUCAAUUUCUCGAAUCAUGACAGGCACAGGAGACGAAAAUCAACCCAAAUUUAAAAAAUCAGAGUCUCAAAUACCUUCUGUUUCUUCAUCAUCUUCAGAUCCACAAGCACCAGAAAUGGAUCCCCAAAAAUGGGGUACCCAUAUUAUGGGUCCGCCUGCAGUUCCAACUUGUCAUCCAGACAAUCAGAAAGCUGCUUCAUGGAGAGCUGAGGAUCAAAGAGAAGAGUUUCAGCCACAGCCUUAUGUUGUUUAUUCCCCAAUUGAUAAGCCUAGCAAUAACCCACUUGAUUCCGUUGUUAAUGUGUUCAAUUCAUGGAGUAACAGAGCUGAGAACAUAGCUCGCAACAUUUGGUAUAAUCUGAAAGCUGGACCGUCAGUUACAGAAGCGGCAUGGGGAAAACUUAAUUUGACAGCUAAGGCGUUGACAGAGGGUGGAUUUGAGCCUCUUUACAAGCAGAUUUUUGGAGCAGAUCCUAAUGAACAGCUGAAAAAGACGUUUGCUUGUUAUCUUUCUACUGCGACUGGGCCUGUUGCUGGUACACUCUAUCUGUCAACUACUAAAGUUGCUUUUUGCAGCGAUCGGCCAUUAUCAUACAAAGCUCCAUCUGGUCAGGAGGCCUGGAGCUACUACAAGGUAGCAGUACCGUUGGGAAAUAUUGGGACUAUAAACCCAAUAGUGAUGAAAGAGUCUCCACCAGAGAGGUACAUUCAGAUUGUUACCAUCGAUGGUCAUGAUUUCUGGUUCAUG